rnacentral:rRNA from 1 species
UACGGAGGGUGCAAGCGUUAUCCGGAUUCACUGGGUUUAAAGGGUGCGUAGGCGGGCUUGUAAGUCAGUGGUGAAAGCCCGGAGCUUAACUCCGGAACUGCCAUUGAUACUGACGGCCUCGAGGGAGAUAGGGGCAUGCGGAACUGUAGGUGGAGCGGUGAAAUGCGUUGAUAUCUACAGGAACUCCGGUGGCGAAAGCGGCGUGCUGGAUCUCUUCUGACGCUGAGGCUCGAAAGCUAGGGGAGCAAACGGG